rnacentral:tRNA from 1 species
GGUGCAGAAGCGAAGUGGCCGAACGGCACGUCUUUCAAGCGUGUAAUUAGCGGGUUCAAGUCCCGUCUGCACUACCU